rnacentral:rRNA from 1 species
GAUGAACGCUAGCGACAGGCUUAACACAUGCAAGUCGAGGGGCAGCGGGGUUUUUAGCUUGCUAAAACUGCCGGCGACCGGCGCACGGGUGAGUAACACGUAUGCAACCUGCCCGCGGCUCGGGGAUAGCCCAUCGAAAGAUGGAUUAAUACCCGAUGGCGUGGUUUCUCCGCAUGGAGUUUCCACUAAAGGUUUUCCGGCCGCGGAUGAGGAUGCGUAUGAUUAGGUAGUAGGCGGGGUAACGGCCCACCUAGCCUUCGAUCAUUAGGGGUUCUGAGAGGAAGGUCCCCCANACUGGUACUGAGAUACGGACCAGACUCCUACGGGAGGCAGCAGUGAGGAAUAUUGGUCAAUGGUCGGAAGACUGAACCAGCCAUGCCGCGUGAAGGUCACGGCCCUAUGGGUCUUAAACUUCUUUUAGUAAGGGAGCAAUAAGGCGUACGUGUACGUCGAUGAGAGUACCUUACGAAUAAGCAUCGGCUAACUCCGUG